UAUUGCGCAAUGGGGGAAACCCUGACGCAGCAACGCCGCGUGAGUGAGGAAGGACUUCGGUCUGUAAAGCUCUGUUAAUGUGGAAAAAUGGUUAGCGGUCUAAUAGGCCGUUGAUUUGAUGGUACACAUAGAGGAAGCACCGGCUAACUUCGUGCCAGCAGCCGCGGUAAUACGAAGGGUGCAAGCGUUGUUCGGAUUUAUUGGGCGUAAAGCGCGCGUAGGCGGACCUGUAAGUCAGAUGUGAAAUCUCGGGGCUCAACCUCGAAACUGCGUCUGAAACUGCAGGUCUAGAAUCUUGGAGGGGGAAGGGGAAUUUCGCAUGUAGGGGUAAAAUCCGUAGAUAUGCGAAGGAACACCAGAGGCGAAGGCGCCUUCCUGGACAAGUAUUGACGCUGAGGCGCGAAAGCGUGGGGAUCAAACAG
rnacentral:rRNA from 1 species